GGGGUUGUGGCUCAGUGGUAGAGCACUCGCCUAGCAUGUGCGAGGCCCUGGGUUCAAUUCUCAUCACCA
rnacentral:tRNA from 1 species